AACUAUAACCACCACUAACUCUAUAUAAAAAAAUCUAUAAAUAUUCUACAAAAUUCUCUGUAAAGACAAUAAUAUUAGUAAAAAGUAAAUAAUCUUGUACCUUUUGCAUCAUGGUAUUACUAAAUUCAUUUAACAUUAACCUAACCCGAAACAUAUUCGAGCUGUUUGUUAGCUGUUAAGCACCAAAACAUAAUGUAACAAUAUUAUAUAAAGACUAACAAACAGAGGCUACAUACCAUCGCGAUCUGUGAUAGCUGGUUUCAUUACCCACGAUAUAAGUCGGCUCAGUAACUAACUUAGAAAAUAAUAUAGGCAAAGCUAUAUUACAAUUUACCUAUAAAAAUUAUAAACAAACUAAACGUAGGACUAUAAAUACCCACCCAAAAUCAUGUCACAAUAUAAAUUCCCAAAUACAAAAAUCAUAAUAAUUAUGUUAAAAUUAAUGAAACCCCCUUCUCCUAAAUGGGGGAAUAUAAUGUAAUAACGAGUAUUUUUAAAUCACAAAUAAAUUAUAUAAUUAACCUAUAAAAUAAUACUAAACCUCAUAUUCAUAUAAGGAACUCGGCAAAUUCUUUCUUCGCCUGUUUAUCAAAAACACCGCCUAUUGCAAAUAUAAUAGGUCCAUCCUGCCCAGUGGUUAACUCAACGGCCGCGGUACCCUGACCGUGCAAAGGUAGCAUAAUCAUUUGCCCUUUAAUUGGGGGCUAGUAUGAAUGGACACACGAAGAAAAACUGUCUCAUAUGAACAACCAUAAACUAGAAUACAGGUGAAGAUACCUGUAUUAUUAUAUAAGACAAGAAGACCCUACAGCGCUUUAUCAAUGAUGCGUAACCCAGCUCUCAAAUAGAAAUAUACAGCUAAAGUUGAUUUGAUUGGGAUGAUCAAGGAAUCUAAUAAUCUUCCUGUACAACCACGAACGUCAGUUCUACAUCUUAUAAUAAACACGACCCAAGCAACCUUAGGGAUAACAGGCUAAUCCCCCUAGAGAGAUCACAUUGACAGGGGGGGUUGGCACCUCGAUGUUGGCUUAGCGUAUCCAUUAAAUGCAGCAGUUUAAUAUGGUCGGUUUGUUCAACCGUUAAAACGCUACAUGAGCUGAGUUCAGACCGGCGUAAGCCAGGUUAGUUUCUAUCUAUAAUAUUAAUAAUAUUAAGUCAUAGUACGAAAGGACCUGAUCUUAAAAAAUUAUUUUAAACACUGAAAACAUAUAAACAACAAUUAAAUACAAAUUAACU
rnacentral:rRNA from 1 species